ACACAAACCUAGAUGACGUAGCCUACUACACACCUAGGCUGUAUGGUACUAAUCUUGUGGGACCACCGUCGUAUACGUGGUCUGUCGUUGACGGAAGUGUUGUUAUGUGGUACCUGACUGUACUAAAAUUUUUAAUUCAGAAGUCAUAGUUUUCAGUUUUAAGAAGUCUUUCAGUGCUUUUUCUCUCAAAUGCUCUUUUUCUGUUUAUUUAUACUUCUAUUCUUGCUCUAGCUCUUCCAGAAGUUCAAUUUCAUAAAGUGUGACUUAAGAUUCUUCAAUCUACUCCUCUCAACCAAGCUAUUUUGGAUCCUCAUAAAAGAAAACUAAAAGAGUUUGUCACUCACUGACCUGCACUACAAGAAAUGCCAAAAGAUGUUCCUCACGAUGAUGGGAAAUUAUACCAGUUACAUAAAAAAGGGUGAAGAGCAUCAGAAGUGACAAGAGAAUCUUGGAAUCACGUACUGGAGGUACCACAUUUACUCAGUGAUUACUUUGCCAUGUGAUAGCCAAUCUUCCCAGAUAUUUCAACUUCCUUCAGCAAACAAAAAUCGGAUGGUUCUGGUCCUGGGUAGAGAGAAGCAUUGUUCAUGAGAGGAAAACAUGGAAAAACGUAUUCAUCCUGGGCCCUCAGAAGUCAGGAAAGGAACCUGAAGAAUACACUUUGCCACAAGGAGGAAAAUAUGCCAGACAGGUCAUGCAAGUCUUCACUCUGCAUUUAUGUUAAAUUUAAAUUUAUCGUUUGCUUUUCUGGAUUUCUACACCAGUCUUCUGUGAGCAGGAGCAUAUGUAAGUUUUAUUUGGCCUUGAUUUACACAGUUUGUUGGGGAAGACUCUUUAAGGAAAAGAAUAUAAAUUUUGGAAUAAAAUCUUUGGUGGGAAGGUGGACAUUUACCUAGAAAAUAAAUUGCAGAAAACUAUAAAUUGAAAAAAGCUCACAAGUACCACGAACAUCGCAACAUCCAGAAAAUGAACGGUUUAGCUUCUGCCUCUAUACACUUCGAAACUUGCUCUUCCCUGCUAGCCACACACGCCCAUGCUGGGCACCAGCAAACAUUCACGUGGUGGGUGGGACCUGUGGCCCUGAACUUCAUAAGAAAGCCACAUGAGUCAAUGCAGAGGGUGGUUAGAAUAUUGCUAGAGGCUAUUCCUACUUGCAAAGCUAGCAAUAACAGUGUAGAAGUGACGACAAGCCACUAAAUAUAAUCCACUCUAUCCAAACUAAAUAUAUCCCCAACUUAGCUUUUCUUUAGCAGGAUUCCCCAUGCCUGGCCAUUCCAAUGACACUGGGGAAGUUUAAAUGGAAGAGACAGUAGUCUUAACUAAUUGCAAGUAAAAUAGUCUGUUUUUGUAAAUUUACUAAAAUGUGUGAUCAUGCGAACACAUGACUAGACUCCCUCCCCUGGGCUCAGAAGGCUCCAUGUUACUUAGGGAUCCUGAGGCUUGAGCUUGUUUAGACUCACAGCAAAUCAUGGGGAGAAGGAGAAAGAAUGCCAGAAUCUGAUCAGAUCUAGAACCCCAAGGAUUUCCAGUGGCUGAGUUUACAGAGCUGAGGGUUAAAGAUUGACCAGGGUGGAUUCUACACAAUAAACGAAGGCCAUGUUUGCAGCCCAUCGGUAGCACCCUGUGCAUCACCAAGCACUACAUGUUGAGAUGUUUAGAAAUUCCACCAGCCUUUGAGGCUUUGUGACAGGACAUGCUCUGAUAUUUCCCCCUUUUUCCAGACCUGUCUGUCUUCUCCUCCAGAUGUGUGAAAGGAAAUGAUAGAAAGGAGCAUGAAGUUACAAAAAGGGGAAAGUAGCUUCUGAAAGUGAUCUCCAUGGCAGUGAGAUGGUCAAAUGAAAGGCAAAUGGGGGAGUGGGACUACCUGAGUCUGGAUUUCUGUCUUCACCAACUGUGAGACCUUGGCCAUGUUAUGAAUCCCUCUGUGCCUGAGUUUACUCAAUUGUACAAUAGGAAUCAUAACAGUACCUCCCUUAUUGUGUUGUCAUAAGGACUAAAUGAGUUAAUACAUAUAAAGCAUGUAGAACAGUGCCAGGCACGCAGGAACCACUCAAUGAAAGUUGGCCGUUAUUAUUUGGAAAGUAAGACAUUUUAAAAUGCGAUUUCCAAAGCAGUAGCAGAGAUUUUUGGAUUUAUUUCCACUCUCCUCUUUUAAUACUUAAAUUAGCAUCCUUCCAAGUCCAGUUCCUGGGUAACGGCUUGUUGCUAUUUUAGGCCAUCUGUGAUCUUCAAUAGCACCAAGUUUGGCGUUUCCAAUCCACAGCUAGGUCGCGUUGCAACUUUUAGUGAUCUGUUGUCUGUUUAUUUGCAGAAUUGGUCACAAUUUGGUCUUUUUUGUUUAAAUUGUCUACAUUAGCUCUUAAAACUCUGCAGCCGUCUACUGGGGCGCCAGCAUUUGGAUGGGUGUUAUAACACUACAUUUUCUCUUCAUUACAAGUCCUAAAAAUAGGGUGCAACUGACUAACGUUUUCAGCCUUCACAGCAAGAUUUGGUUUGUCAGGAAAUGGUGUGGGAGUAGUUCUCAUAUGCACUGAAGGUGCAAAGUGCAAAACAAAAAUAACUCAACAAGAGUUUAACAGCCCUCCUUUAUGUACGUUAUUUACAAAGGCCACAAUCUGGAGUUCCAGGCAGAGCCUUAGGAAGCUCGAGAGACCCUUCUGGAAGGGGAAAAAAUGCCAAUAUAGAUUACACAAAAGAGAAGAUGGUAUAAAGAGAGACAAGGUUUAAUCUGUUAUCUCUGCCCUCUUUAUCAGUAUUCGUGUCUGCUCAGGCAUCAAAAGGACUUUGAGUUUAGUCAAACUUGGAAGAGUUCUUUAAUAAUACAAUGCAUAAAACACAUACGAGAAACUUCUAAACCAUUGCUGGUUUCAUUUUUAUUUGUAAAAUUUCCCCCAUCCUCUCUAGUGGGUGACUACUUUUCUUUCAGCUGUCUUAAUUUCUUGCUUGAAACGAGACAUGUUGCAUUAGUGAAUCUUAAUUGCAUUUUCACUUUCUGUGGCUUCAUAACGUUUAGGGGCAAAUAUUUUGCAAACAUUGAGACACUUCUGAAUUAUUAGUUCUACCCUUCAAUAGAAAUUCUAAAUAUUGUCAGAAGUCAGGAGAAAAACAGUUGUCUUCAUUAGUAUUAUGACAGUAAAGGAAAAGAAAAAGCCGUGAUGUUUGGUGCAUUCUUUAUUCCAACUCUAAUAAACAUCACAUUCUUGAUUAGGCUAUAAGAGUUCAGAGGUACAUAAUGAAAUAAUUUUGCUGCAAUUUUUAAAAGUUAAAAAAAUAUUUUUUGCUGUCUAGCUUGCUGUUAGUCUUUCCAUUACCAACUUAGAAGAAAAUUCUUGCGCAUCUCAAUGCAUUGGGGAUGAGCUCUUUAUUUUCAUGCCAAUGAAAUAUUGUCACAAACACCUUGUUCAGGCAGAAGAAGAUUUAGAAUAGCUUUGCUUUAUCACAGCUUGCAAUGUAGUUUUGGACUACUUAGACUCAUACAAAUGAAAUAACCAGAGCUUUCCCCCUUUACUUUUUUUGAGUUACUUUCUCAUCAAAAGUUUUUCAGUUUUACAGUAUGGAAAACUUUUUCUUUGUGCUUAAAAAUCAGAAAGAAAAACACACACUAUUUUAUUUAAGGAGCAAAAAGGAUGAUGGAUUAAAGUAGAUGUGGAGUGUUUGCAGUUAUAUAAGACUAUUAGGGACCCUGCUUGUUCUGGUUUUUGUAAUUUGUCCAUGUCCUACUUUAUAUAACUCAAUCCAUUGUGAGCCAAACAUGAAAUAAGCGAAUACAGUAUUCCAUAUUUCACUUUGUCAGCAAAUUAAAAAAAGUAUAGAACAAACACAAUAGUCAUCAUGGUUCUUGAAUAGAGAACGAAACAUUUUUCAAAUCCCAGGGACCUGUAAGAAACAGAAGGUUAAGGAGAUUUCUUUUAACAAUGAGCAGAUGUGUUUGUUACUGUUGAUGGACAAGCUUAUCCAUUUACUUCAAUUAAUAACAAGAGUGAGCACAUCAAUACAUAAGCUUGUCCUGAUGCCUUGAUUUUUUUCCAAUUUGACAGGUAAUAGUGGGGCUGGGAACAUGUCACAACAAUUUAGUCCUGCCUCACUAGCUUUAACUAGUUCAAUGACAAUGGGAACGCAUCUUGCUAAGAUUUCUUAUUAUUCAUAAAAAUACUACGUUUGUUGACUCUUACAGAGGGUUUAAAAUCUGUGACAAUUAAUAGUUUAAAAUCAAAUCCUUUCAUGGGUUAUUCAUUUGAGCACUAAGUAAAAUCAAGUUAAAAUAUUUAUGAACACUAUGAAAAUGUGGAAACUUUCUUUAGGAACCUGUCCUUUCAUAUUGAGUCAUAAAUGAAACCAACUAUGUUUGACAAAGAAAGGCCAUUUCAUCAUACGGCUGAGCUCUAACCCCUUCCCAUGUUCUAAAGGAUAUUUUCUACAAUCUGACAGAUUUUGUCAGAGAAACUCUACUGAUUUUAAAAACCCAUGGUCUCACAAAUGUUACUGUAUGAGAGCAAAUUAUGCCUCCAGCAAACUUGACAAUGGAUAUCAAAAUGUAAUAAUAUCAGUAAAUCGCUUCAAUGCUCACUGACGCAGUAAAUACGUGCUUUCCUCUUAAUAGUAAAUGAUUAAUACCUGGCAGGAGGGGAGAAGGAAAUUGGCAAUUUCUUUUUAGAGAAAAAGUAAAAGCCCAUUUAUACUAUUCUGGGGCCAAUGGAAUUAGUAUAGGAAGCAGCCUCAUAUGCUCCAUAGAGAUGUGACAUAUCUCAGAGAAUGCUCAUGGCAUGGACAAAUUGCAGCUUCUUCAGGGCAAGAACAGCAUCAUAUUCAUCUCUGCAUCUCCACGGUGUCUAAUACAACCCUUCUUAUACAUAAGGAGGUCAACAAAUGUUUUCUCGCAACAUUCUUCUAGACCGCUCCCUACAGGACAGCUAACCAAGUGUCUUAAAAAUAGAGGCAUAAAACUUAAGGUUUGUAGAAAGUUUGGAGAAAAGCCUUACACAGCUCUCCCCAAAACUUAUCUUCUCACUACUGUGCACUCCCCACUUCAUUCUGUGUUAUCAUCUCGGUGAGGCCCUCCCUGACACUUUGAGCACCCUCAGAAUGAAUCACACAUUCUUUGACCACAGUACCUGUAUAUAACUUUAAUACUGCACUUAUUAUUUUAAAUUUUAACAACUUUUUUGUCUCUGCAACCAUGUUUGAAAUCUGCAGAUACUUUCUUCUUAUUUAUCAUUGAAUCAUCUGCUUCUAGUCCUGAGUAAAUGUGCAAUAAAUUUUGAAUUGCUCUGAAUUGUUGAUGCCAAUCUAAAUCCUUUGGGCCCUGGUAGUCACAGAAGGGCUACCAUUUUGUUACAAGGAGGUGGGACAAAAGAGUAAAAGCAAGUGUUGUGGGCUGAAUUGUGACCCCCUCCCUCCCACCACCAAACUCAUAUGUUGAUGUCCUAACCCCCAGUACCUCA